AUUGAACGCUGGCGGCAGGCCUAACACAUGCAAGUCGAACGGUAACAGGAAGCAGCUUGCUGCUUCGCUGACGAGUGGCGGACGGGUGAGUAAUGUCUGGGAAACUGCCUGAUGGAGGGGGAUAACUACUGGAAACGGUAGCUAAUACCGCAUAACGUCGCAAGACCAAGAAGGGGGCCUUAAGGCCUCUUUCCAUUCGGAGUUGCCCAGAUGGGAUUAGCUAGUAGGUGGGGUAACGGCCCACCUAGGCGACGAUCCCUAGCUGGUCUGAGAGGAUGACCAGCCACACUGGAACUGAGACACGGUCCAGACUCCUACGGGAGGCAGCAGUGGGGAAUAUUGCACAAUGGGCGCAAGCCUGAUGCAGCCAUGCCGCGUGUAUGAAGAAGGCCUUCGGGUUGUAAAGUACUUUCAGCGGGGAGGAAGGGAGUAAAGUUAAUACCUUUGCUCAUUGACGUUACCCGCAGAAGAAGCACCGGCUAACUCCGUG
rnacentral:rRNA from 1 species